GUGCCACCAUUUCAUUUCAUUAAUUAUUUGCAGUGAACCCAAUCCCCAGGCAGUGAAGUGGAGACACUUGUUCCCUAGGUUUAGUCUAGUCUACAGCAGUAGGCUGUAGCUCCAAGGGAAGAGAGAAGGGAUUGGAUACAACCUUUAAUCCUUUAUUAAGAGACUAUUGAUUCACCUGUGCGUAAAUCUAAGUAACAUAAUAAAAAAAAUCCCUAUCAAAAUCCAUCAGUUUAAGCUUGAGACGUGUUUUUUAUUUUUUUUACAAGGGCUGCGUGUCAAUCCACCACAUCUGCCUAUAUCGGCCUCCUGCAUCUGCGGUGGAAGGUGGUGUUUGUCAGACCAUGAGACGUUACAAAAAUCUUUCUAAUGAAAACGUCUGUCGCGUCUGAAAGAUGAGCCUACGGAAAGAUGAGACUCACUGGACUCGUCUGACGGUAACCUAUACAAAUUAAUGGAAGUACGGAGGUAGUUUUGUGGAAACAAAAAUAAGGGGCUAAAUAUGUGUCCAAAAAGGGGGGUUCUAGAGAGCACCACAUGGAGUAGACGCUUCUCCGACUAUGAGAAACACGGCCAAGGGGAGACUAAUUCAUCCAAAAACAACCAGGCAAUGACCCAACACACCUCCAGGCUGUGUAAGGACUAUUUGACCAAGAAGGAGAGUGAUGGAAUGCUGCAUCAGAUGACUUGGCCUCCACAAAUCACCAGACUUCAACCCAAUAGAUGGUUUGGGAUGAGUUGGACUGCAGAGGCAGAAGCUGUCAUCAGGGCAAAGAGUGGCUACUUUGAAGAAUCUCAAAUACAUUUAGAUUUGUUUAACACUUUUUUGGUUAGUCCAUGUGUUAUUUCAUAGUUUUGAUGUCUUCACUAUUAUUCUACAAUGUAGAAAAUAGUAAAAAAUAAAAAUAACUUGAAUGAGUAGGUGUGUUCAAAUUUGACUGGUACUGUAUGCAUACAUACAUAGUGUUUUCAGAAGGUAUUCAGACCCAUGGACUUUUUCCACUUUGUUACAUUACAGCCUUAUUAUAAAAUUGAUUAAAUAAAAAUCCUCAGCAAUCUA